rnacentral:lncRNA from 1 species
GCCGAACAGCAAGGACGCAGCAGGGGACCCUGGCAGCAGUGGGUGCGGGAGGUGCUGCUUCACCACCUGAGAGGGGCUCUGCACCCACAGCAGGCCCCUGCCAUGACUUGGUCCCAGGCUGGGUCAGACAGCGCGGUCAGGACGCACCCCUCGGGCCAGGCCAGGCAGGGCCGACCCUUUGCUCCCUGCUCUGACGGUGCAGAAUGAGAAGAGGCAGGAGUCUCCGGGGCAUGUGCGCACAUGGCCCCGCCCACGCCGUCUAGCCUGCAGGUUGGCCUUUGUGCACAGGUCACUCUGCCUGGAAAGUGGUGGCAGGGGUGGUGGCACGGCUCCCUGUAACCCUCUGCCUGAGUGAGCGCCUGCUGCCCAGGGCCGCCUCAGCCAGGCACCCCCCGGGGCUGCAGUGGCCACCUCAAAGUUCCCUCUGCAUCCAGACCCUUCCCAUCCGAGCCACAAAGCCAACAGCCAUGUAGCCUCUGGGCCCAGCUGGGAGCAGCUCCAAAGUGUGGGGAACAGGCCCUGCCCCGCCAGUCGCCGGCACAUGCCUCGGAGCCUGGUGUCCCCCAAGCUCACUGCCCACCAGGCUUGGGGAGGCCCAGGUGCUCAUUUUGGGGACAUGUGCCCCAGUGACAGAGGAGCUCUCCCUCUGUAUGGCAGGUCACAGCCCCA